GACGAACCGAGCGAACGUUGUUCGGAAUCACUGGGCUUAAAGGGCGCGUAGGCGGGUGCUCAAGUCCGGGGUGAAAUCCCACAGCUCAACUGUGGAACUGCCUCGGAUACUGGGCGUCUCGAGGGUGGCAGGGGUAUGCGGAACUAUCGGUGGAGCGGUGAAAUGCGUUGAUAUCGAUAGGAACUCCGGUGGCGAAGGCGGCAUACUGGUCCACUUCUGACGCUGAGGCGCGAAAGCCAGGGAGCGAACGGGG
rnacentral:rRNA from 1 species